CAGUGAUGAUGAAAAUCAUUUCUCCAUUCGCGGUUUCCACCAGAGGUUUUCCGAUGAUGGAUUAAUCCUUCCUUGGAUGUCUGAACUG
rnacentral:snoRNA from 1 species